CCUGUGGGAGUGCUGGAGAAAUCAAGUGUACCAAGUACUCUGUCUCCUCAGCCAUGCAAGAGAUCUUCAGACAUGACGAGAUUGAGGAGUUAAAUGAAAUCAAAGAGCUAAAAGAAGAUCUACAAUAUUAGUGCCAAUUCAGUAUGAAAACAGAGAGAGAGAGCUGAGGGAGUGGAAAGAAAUGCAUGAUAUUGUGCAAGGGGUAGUUGCAUGGACUGUCAGUGGAGCAACAGAAAGCUCUGAGAUUUUUAUUAUAAAGAUCUUCAUUUGUGUUCUGAAGAUGAACUAAAGACUUGCGGGUUCGGAACGACAUGAGGACUACAUCCAAACUAGUGUUUCCACAUCUGACAUAAAGGCAGUCAUAAGAACCAAGCGGAACGAUGAGGAUAAGCUCUUCAAAAAAUGAAACCUGCCUGAAUAAUGAGGGAAGAAAUGUGCAUGAUUGCCUGAUUUGUAAAUAAGCAUUAAGGACAUUUAGUGUAACU